GUUUCUUGGUAUAGUUGGUUAAUAUGUCUGAUUUAGGUGGUAUUAGUCACACCAUCUCUAAAUAGUUUUGGGUUCAAUUCCCAUCAUGAACA